rnacentral:misc_RNA from 1 species
GAUGAAGAACGCAGCGAAAUGCGAUAAAUAAUGUGAAUUGCAGAAUUCAGUGAAUCAUCGAAUCUUUGAACGCACCUUGCGCCCUUUGGCCAUUCCGAAGGGCAUGCCUGUUUGAGUAUCAUGAACACCUCAACUCUUUAUGGUUUUCCAUGAUGAGCUUGGACUUUGGGGGUUUUGCUGGCCUAUGGUCGGCUCCUCUAAAAUAAAUCAGCUUACCGGUGUUUGGUGGGUAUCAUGGGUGUGAUAACUAUCUACGCUUGUGGUUUUUCCACCAGGUAACCUUCGACAGCGGAGGUUCACUGGAGCUCAUAGAUGUCUCUCCUCAGCGAGGACAGCCCUUUGAAUGUUUGAUCUCAAAUCAGGUAGGACUACCCGCUGAACUUAAGCAUAUCAAUAAGCGGAGGA